rnacentral:lncRNA from 1 species
AGACUACAAGGAACCGCCCGUGUGAGCCAGUGGAAGACUCGCGUCCCCAGGCAAAAUAUAAGUCCUGGGUUAAUAGUCUGAAGUCUGUCAUUAAGCAAUAGGUUAUCCAGCUGCCCAGAUUUUUUUCUUUUUUGCUUUGGCUGCAACUCGACCCGUGGGAACUUAAUUGGCAAUGUAAAUUAGACAAUUUACAAAAAAACACCUCCUUUUACUUUCACCUGUGAAAGGAAGCGCUUAAAAUGCCAUACAGGUGUAACCAUUAUAGAAUAGAUAUGCGUGAGACAAGGAUUUACAAAAUUUCCUCACCUCCUCUCCUCCAGAUUCCAUGCACAAGGCGUCUAGCUAGAGGAGUUAGCAAAUAGUCUAUAACGUGAAGGUUCAAACUCUAGUAUAAUUCCACCGUUUUUGUUUUUUUCUUUUUUUGAGGCAAGGUCUCACUCUGUCUCCCAAGCUGGAGUGUAGUGGCGCGAUCUCGGCUCACUGCAGCAUCGUCUUCUGGGUUCAAGCGAUCCUCCGGCCUCAGCUGGACUACAGGCGGGUAAUCAAGGGACUG